GGGAAAUGUGGUCCAAAAGCUGAGCACAGUCAUUGAGAAUCAGAACCAGCAGCUCCGCCUGCUGCUGCAGCUGUUGUCUCACUCAACAUCUCGCUUUUGAGUCAGUGGCUGUGGCGCCAGGAAGACAUCUACAUGAAGAGGACGGGUCGGAUGAUAUGCCUGAAUAUGUCUGAACUUCUUCAUCCUUUUUUCCUGAUCAACAAACAUUUAUAAAAAAUACUGAUGUCCUUUAUAUAUAGUCAGCAAUCUUUCAUCAUAUCUUUAAAUAUAUUAAUCUCCUGUAUUUUAAACGCACAAUUUAUGAUACCAAAGGUUUGUCUCCAAGCAGAAUAAAAGCAUAACGCUUAAAAAGACAUCAAGGCAGGGUGAUGAUGACUGCUGGAAGAUUUAAACUGUUCAAAUAUGCUUUAUUACAUAUUUUAUUAUUGGUGAAUCAAUAAAGAUGAUCUUGAAUGGUGAA